CUCAGGAACAAGAACCUGAGCCGGCUAAGGGCGCCUAGCAGACUUCGCAGCCCUCUCCAGAGGACAGACAUCUUUCACGAAGGGGAAGGAGUGGCGCUCGGGGCUGUUGGACCUGACAGGAGGCACAGUAGGAGGCACAGCUCUCUUGAUUCAACCAUUCCCUGAGCCAGGCCUGUGGGAACCAGAGUCAACCCCAGAACGGGCAAGAAGGUGCACUGAAUCUGUAAGAGGAAAGAGGGUGGCAGGGUCCAGUAUGGAGGCAGAGAUGAAUUUGGGCUGAGGAGGCUGGGCUGGCUUCCUGGAGGAGAUGGCACCUGGGCCAAGCCAGUUUGAAAAUUCAGAAACAUCUAGCAAGGGCCAACAUGAGCCAGGCAUUGCUCUGAAGGCUGGACAUGGUAGUGAAGAAAGUUUCUUCCCUUGUGUGGCCAUAUUCUGGUUGGAGGAGAAAAACAAUAAACAAAUAGACAAGUCAAUGUAUAGCAUGUCAAG